GAUCCUACGGGAGGCAGCAGUGAGGAAUAUUGGUCAAUGGUCGGGAGACUGAACCAGCCAAGCCGCGUGAGGGAUGAAGGUACAGAGUAUCGUAAACCUCUUUUGUCAGGGAACAAAGGCGGGGACGUGUCCCCGGAUGAGUGUACCUGAAGAAAAAGCAUCGGCUAACUCCGUGCCAGCAGCCGCGGUAAUACGGAGGAUGCGAGCGUUAUCCGGGUUUAUUGGGUUUAAAGAGGGCGCAGGCGGUCUGGUAAGUCAGCCGUCAAAGCCCGGGGC
rnacentral:rRNA from 1 species